ensembl:lincRNA
CGACUUCAAGAAAAGAGGCUUUAUUAUCCAGCAGCUCCUCUUGGAAUUCAAAGGAGGAAGGACAGCCGAGCCCCGGGGGGAGUUAGACUUGGACACUGGAAAGUCUUCAGGAGCUGUGCAGCUUUUCUUCUCUCGCCCCCCAAGGCUUUCCUGUCCCCCUGCCCCGCGACUGUCCAGCCCUGCCCCACAGAAUGGCUCUGGGCGAUCUCCUCACAUACCUGGCUUGGCCCUCAGUUGUGGCCUUCGGUCUCUCAUUCAACAGGAUCCUGCAGCUCCUGUGACCAUCACCACCUGACUCUCGGCCUGUGUCUCAGUUCAAAUUGUCAAGAGAAAAUUCUUCAAACUGAUUUUCUGGAAGGAAGAAUGACUUCACUACUAUUUGCCUAAUUCAUGAUGCAUGAAGAUGAGAGUUAUUUGAGAAAUUCUUAUGGAGGAAGCCAACAGAGACAGCACAAGUAUUUGACAUAACUGGUUGGAAGCCUGUGGAGAGAAGGGGAGCAGAGCAGGGAAAUCUCCCUGACAGAGUUAUCCCUGACAGAGCGUCCUGACCAAGGAUCUAAGGUAAGCAUGUGCCAUAGUAAGUCCAGCCUCAGGAUACCCUUCAGCCCAUAGAAGCUGACCUCUCAUAAUCCUUAAGACCAACUUGCCAAAUGACUUGUAUUUAAGGUAAAAACUAUCGGUAAGUCCCAUUUUCUCUUGUUUCAUCAUUUUUCCUAAAAUGUGUGGAUAAGUAUGAAAAUAUUAUGAUUCCAUAUGACAAGUUAUAGGAUCUCUCAGACUUCAUGUUCUUCCAUUUCCAGAACAAGUGAGUUAAAUCAGAUGAUGACUAAGACCACCUUCAGGUCUGGAAUUCUAAGUUAAAAACCAGUGUUUUUGGAAGCAAUUGAUCAUCAGAAUCACCUGGGGCAGUUCUCAAAGUACAGAUUCCUAAACCCUAUCUUCAGACAUUCUGGUUCAUUCAUUCCACACAUGAUUAUGGAAGUUUUAUGUUACAUUCUAGGGUACACAAUGACAAAUACGACAGACAUAUUACCAUUAUGCCCUAGUUGCUACAGAAACUGAGAUUCAAUCCACUAAUCUGUUUUAAAAAUGCUCUCCAGGGGGCGCCUGGGUGGCUCAGUGGGUUAACCCUCUGCCUUUGGCUUGGGUCAUGAUCUCAGGGUCCUAGGAUAGAGCCCCACAUCAGGCUCUCUGCUCAGCAGGGAGUCUGCUUCCCCCCUCUCUCUGCCUGCUGCUCUGCCUACUUCUGAUCUCUCUCUGUCAAAUAAAUAAGAUCUUAAAAAAAAAAAAAAAUGCUCUCCAGGGGGUACCUGGGUGGCUCAGUCAUUAAGUGUCUGCCUUCGGCUCAGGUCAGGAUCCCAGGUCAUUAAGUGUCUGCCUUCGGCUCAAGUCAGGAUCCCAGGGUCCUGGGAUCGAGCCCCACAUCGGGCUCCCUGCCUUGCAGGAAGCCUGUUUCUCCCUCUCCCACUCCCCCUGCUUGUGUUCCCUCUCUCACUGUGUCUCUCUCUGUCAAAUAAAUAAAUAAAAUCUUAAAAAAAAAAAAAUGCUCUCCAGGAAUUCUGAUAACUAGACUGUUUAGAGAAGCAAUAUUUGAGACCAAAUGCAAAGAAGAGACAUUUCUGAGGGACCAUUUUAUUUUAUUUGGGAUGGACUCAACUUUAAACCUGAGAAAUAUUUCCAUUUAAAAUUUUAAAAAUUUAAAUACCUUCUCUAAAACACACACACACACACACAUAUGUAUAUGAACAUAGAUUGAAAUGUAAAUGUAAACAAGAAGAUAUAGUUACCAGUAUGCUGAUAUUAG